UACGUAGGGGCCUAGCGUUGUCCGGAUUUAUUGGGCGUAAAGAGCUCGUAGGCGGUUCGGCAAGUCGGAUGUGAAAUCUCCACGCUCAACGUGGAGGGCCAUUCGAAACUGCCGUGACUCGAGUCCGGUAGGGGAGUGUGGAAUUCCCGGUGUAGCGGUGAAAUGCGCAGAUAUCAGGAGGAACACCGGUGGCGAAGGCGGGUCUCUGGGCCGAUACUGACGCUGAGGAGCGAAAGCGUGGGGAGCGAACAGG
rnacentral:rRNA from 1 species